rnacentral:tRNA from 1 species
GGAAGCGCUUCGUGGCUGGUGCCGCGCUCAGUCUUCAAAACUGAUGUGGGGCAGUUCCGCUGUCCCGGGCAGGUUCGAUUCCUGUGCGUUUCCGCCA